UGGGCCCUGCGAGGCACUGAAGCUGAACACUGAGCUCUCUUGAGAGUCGUCUACAUCCUGCCAUGUAUCAGGCAAACCUGCCAGCUGCCGUCACCGAAUUCAACAAGGACGGAAUGUGAAGAAGAGAUGAGGAGACCAGCAGCGUGCAUCUUUAUUGGGAAAUAACUGCGCGGGCUGAGGCCCACGCCUGCCCUGAACAACAAAGCUGGCAGUCGCGUUGUGACUGAUGAGAACCAACCAGGAAGCGAAUGUGGGUAACUGCGUCAUCCUUUCCAAACGUCUGUAUUUUUGCCCGUCCAUGCUACAACGCAGCCCCGGAGAUUUCAAACUAAAAAGGGGCGAGCAGUGUUUGCAAACUUCUCCGUUUCACGCUUCGACACGAAAACGUAGCAAUGUGGAUGUAGCGACAGCAGCAUAUGUAGGAUGUCUGUGCGGAGCAACUCUGGAACAUCUGCAGAUACAGAGCAAGAAAGUGUUUACCACACAAAGACAAGAAGUCGAGUGAUACAAACCCCAUGCUCUUCUGUCUGAAGUGUGCAGUAAUACGUUGGCUAUUAGCUGACUGUAUUGGUGUGCUUACAUAAUUCUUUUAUUAUGUACACAGUUUGAACUUUGCUGGCUCGAGGUCUGUACAAGACAAUUUAUCAUAAUUAUCGCCAAUCAGUCACAGUUUAUUAAUCUGGCAUAGAUUAUAUACCCUAAAACACAUCUUUAUCUGAUUUAACCCAAAAUUGAAAAGAAUGUUUUGAUUCCAGCUGCGCCUAUGAAAGAAGAAAAGAAAUCAGAAUGACCACAUGAGAAUAGAUAAUAUAUCAGUAACAACAAAGUACUCACUGUCAGAAGUUUGAUUUUCUCACAACCUUCCAAAACAGAAAACAUUAAACUAGCGAUGUGCAUGAAAACCCCUGAAGUUUUGAUGGUAGCUUGUCCACCACUUCCACUUCUACACACUGUUAAUCUGCUCUGCUAUGUUCUCAGCCGACUCAUUUAAUCCCCUGCGGAAAUACCUCUGGCUCUUUCCAUUCACCAUUUCUCCAUGGACACACUGUUAAAGGGUCCUCAUAACAAGAAAACUGCUGCUGUCAUGACUUCUACAUAAUGGGCCAGAAUGGUAAGUUAUGCUCAAAUUUUGUUUAGUAAUAAUGGUGAUAUGCUGUUUCCGUAUUAGCGGAUAGAAAAGUGUCAAGUGUUAAUGUGAUUGACAUUAUUCACCAGAUAUGAUUAUUGAAAAACUGGUUCAAAUACAGGCCAUCUGUCUGCUGUAGUAACACUGACAUGGUUUCUACACAGCAGGUAGGAAAAUGAGAGUGCAAACGCCUACUGUUCAACUAGGUCCAUACAAUAGUUCAAUAAUUGUUGCAACAAACAUUGGAUCAGAUUUUAGCAAUAAAAGCCAAAGAGAAAACAGUUUGUGUGUUUGUUUAGUGCUUACGAAAAAACGGAAAUGAAAUUUUAUUUAAACUGGUUCCUUGAUAAAGCAGAUAAUAAUCCGCAACUAUGCUUUAGUCUAUCAAUGUUAAUUAAAUCUAAACUACCAAGGGCUCCAUUAGGAUGUAAGAUCACUUCAAAAAUCCGUUCCGACGCUGAUAAACAUGGACCCAAGGCAGACCCUGAACGUGUAGCAGUGCUCUCAUGCAAUCUGAAGUGGAGCCUGGUAUCUGACGACCACGCUGGGGGAGGCAGGGAGGAGAGCAGCAAGACCGUAAUGUGAAAGUCCAUAUAAGGCUGCAGGCGAGGAAAUUACCAGAAGGAACUGAUGUAAGUGCAGAAAUCUUGAGUCACAACAUGGCUUCCUUGGGAAACCGGGGCAGUGCCAAGAGGAGUCUGGCCAAAGGCAGAGUUUCUCAAUAAUUACUGCUUUUGUGAGCCAUCAAGGUUUUGUAUUCCCCUCAAACACUGAAUAAAUAAUCUAUGUUUGAAAAAGCCAGGGAACCGAAUCAGUUGAUGGAAAAAAAAGAAGUAUUUUUAAUCUAUGACUCUUUUUACCCCCCGAGAGAAGCUUGUUCAAACCUCAAAGUGGAAACACUACUUUCUCUGGGUAUUUGCUGAAUCAGUGUGUCUAGCUUCCUUUUCUCACACGCCGUGUCCUCUGCACGUUCACAUGGCGGCGAGCUUUACCUAAUGAAGCAAACUGUGUGUCGCAAUAACAGGUCCACCAGUUGCACUUAUCUUGGAAAGAAAUAACUUUGCGACCUAGUAGUCUAAUGCAUUUCGGCUUUUCUGCAUCCGCACUAAAGGAACAAAAUACUGUCUACACACAUCGCUCCCUAUAGUUCAUAUUUUUCCUUACUUUGAGCACAUAACAUGUUGCUUAUUAAUGAAUAUAAGCCUCACUGUCUAUCCUAUCCCACAAUACUAUGGUCACAAUCCUUUGACCAUGUAUUCUUUCCAAUACCAGUUUCCCCUUUUCUAACCCUUUAACAUGUACGACGGAGCUGCACCCGCGCCGCAGAGCACCUGUGCUUGUGAACUGAUCCUGACGGGCAAACAGCUUCUGUUCUAAUCAAAUCAAAAAUAACCCUUCGUCUAUACAGCUCCUUUUGUGCCAAGAUGCAAUACAAGAUGCUUAACAAAACAGUCGAAAUACACCUAUAUAAAAUAAAAUGCAACACUGCUGCGAUAAAAUAAUUUCCAAUAAAAUGAGUUGAGAGAAUGCUAAACUAAAGAGGUUAGCUUUGAGGUCCCCAGGUGUUACUGCAGUACUCGGUUACUGUUACUGCAGUAUUCUGCUGUACCUAAAGUACUGUAGGCAGCUACUCCUGUGUUGUUUACAGUAACAGCAUCUCAGCUGCGCUGAUCAGAGAUUUGGCACAAACACUGACACUAAGUGGAGGACUAUAAAUAUGUGUCAAGAUGAUAAUAAACACUUGCAGUGGAAAACUUGCAGUAGUAAAGAGUCCCUUUACUAGAAACAGGAUGUGAACCUUCUAUAAUUCUGAUCAAUGAUGUGUCACAUGGUGUUUUUCUUGUUUUGUUGUAAAAAAAAAAAAAAUUGCACUUAAAACUUAAAAUAUAAAAUUGCCAAUUCAUCGCUAAUAAGUAACUACUUAAUAAUCCAGUUGUGUCCAAAAUAUUUACUAGGAAAAAUCCCACAAUAGAAUCACCGAAAACUAUAUAUUACAACGCUGAUACGAUUAGAGGAAUUCCUUUGGGGAAGACAAGGGCACUAAAGACGUUUAAAUGCCAGGAUGCUGGAACAUAUUUCUGGUUGACAGCUGGAAAAAGAAUGUGGAGGAAGUACAGUACUGGCAGAAACAAUACUGCAGGAAGAGAACAGGUACAACCCUCGGUACAUUCUAUUUUUCUCUGUGUAAUUUUGGAAGUGUAGGAGUUCACGAGUCCAUUGUCAUAUGUAAAGCCAAUAGUGAUACAUGUGCAUGUAUUUCAAUAAUGUAUUACUACACUCAUAUUUAAUGAGUUUAAGAUAAGUGCUGAAAAAGAGUCGUUUUUUAUAAUGUGGGGGUAAUUUAUGAACCUAAAGCAUGCACCCUGGGAAGAAAUCAGAGAAGGUAUUUUAUAAUAUACUACUAUUGGAAUCACCGUUCUUAUCCACGUCAAUGUCUUUGUGCGUGGAUCACAUCUCCUCUCCAGGGCCCCAGAAGUGGCUCUUUCUGUACCGGAGCGUCCCCCUUUCCAUUAUCAGACCGUGCCUUGUGUUGGUGUAUCGCAGCUGAGAUUUGGAGCUACUGUGCACAGACACCCACAGACUGACCGCACACAGAUUUCCACUGGUCCAACCCAAUAAAGCAGGACGCUGAGUCAAAGAAGCCAAAACUCACAGCCCUCGUCUGGGGGGGGGGGGGGGCAAACAGAGGAGCAGAAGGGGGGUUCUUGAAACCACUUUUACCUUCCUUCGCCGCUGAUGAAAAAAACCCUGAGCUGAAAUGUUGGGCCCUUGGUGAAUCCUGAGUUAUUUUCAAUAUAAAGCCUGUGCCCGUGCCGCCCCCCCCCCCCCCCCC